CCUACGGGAGGCAGCAGUGAGGAAUAUUGGUCAAUGGGCGGGAGCCUUAACCAUCCAAUUCUCUUUAUUGAAGAAGGUACUGAGUAUUGUAAACCUCUUUUGCCAGGGGACAAAGGCGGCCACGGGUGGCCGUAAGAGGGUACCUGGAGAAAAAGCAUCGGCUAACACCGUGCCAGCAGCCGCGGUAAAACGGAGGAUGCGAGCGUUAUCCGGAUUUAUUGGGUUAAAGGGGUGCGCAGGCGGCGUGUCAAGUCAGCGGUAAAAUGUCGGGGCUCAACCCCGGCCGGCCGUUGAAACUGGCGUGCCCGAGUUGGAGAGAAGUAUGCGGAAUUCGUGGUGUAGCGGUGAAAUGCAUAGAUAUCACGAAGAACCCCGAUUGUGAAGGCAGCAUACCGGCUCCACACUGACGCUGAGGCACGAAAGCGUGGGUAUCGAACAGGAUUAGAUACCCCAGUAGUC
rnacentral:rRNA from 1 species